AAAGAAAGAAAAGAGAGAGAAGAGAGAGAAAAAGAAAGAACAAAAAAAUGGUGUUUGGGAGGGUUUUUUCGAUUUUUCUUCUCUUCUUUUUCUUCUUUUCUUCAACUUUUUCUGCCAAUCCGAAAGUAUCAUUAUCAAAAA
rnacentral:ribozyme from 13 species